rnacentral:lncRNA from 1 species
CUUUGUUCUCCUUGCUUUUGGUUAUUAAAAACUUUAUUGAUAUAUUCUGUAGCAGAGAGAUUUUUUUUUUUCAAAGUCUUCCCUGGUCUUCUAACAAGCCCAUAAAAGUCACUCUUGGGAGUUCCCGUUGUGGCUUAGUGGUUAAAGAACCCGACUAGGAACCAUGAGGUUGCAGGUUUGAUCCCUGCCCUUGCUCAGUGGAUUAAGGAUCCGGUGUUGCCGUGAGCUGUGGUAUAGGUUGCAGAUGUGGCUCGGAUCCCGCAUUGCUGUGGCUGCGGCAUAGGCCAGCGGCUACAGCUCUGAUUAGACCCCCAGCCUGGGAAUCUCCAUAUGCCAAGGGAGCGGCCCAAGAAAUGGCAAAAAGACAAAAAACAAAAGAAAAAAAAAAAGUCAGUCUUUAUUUUUGUUGCAGUAUUUUUAAUACCUAACAUUUUUUUUCUUAGGAUUUUCAUCUCUGCUUGCUUGGCCCUUCUAUCUGUGCACACUGUCUACUUCAUACUUUAGUGCCCUUAGCCUAUUAAUCGUUGUUUAAAUUCCCAUUCUGAUAAUUCCAACAUCCUUGCCAUGUUUGGUUCUGAUAUUUGCUAUGCCUCUUCAUAUUGUGUUUUUUGCCUUUUGAUUGUCUUGUAAUUUUUUCUUUAUAGCUGUUCAUAGGCAUAGGUAAAAAUACUGCUAUAGAUAGGCCUGUAGAAGUGUAGUGGUAAAGUAUGCAGGGAAGAAAAGCGUUCUAUAGCCCUAUGAUUACGUCUCUGUCCUUCAGUGAGCCUAUGCCUCUGCACUCUGAGCACAUGGAGGGGCAGGGAGAAUGAUGAGAAAGAGGGCAUGGAACCUCUCUGACCUUUUCCCUAAGCCUUGCCUAUUCAUUGCUUCUAUCUGGCUGUACUGAGUAAUACCCUUUUAGGGUAGACAGAUAAUCUAGUAAGUAAAAUGUUUCAAUGAGCUUCUCAAGCAAAUUAAUCAAGCCGAAGAAGAGAAUCUUUGGAACCUGUGAUCUAUAGCUGGUAAUCAGAAUUCUAGGUGACAACCUGGAUUUGUGAGUGGCAUCUGAAGUUGGUGUUGAGGAGCAGUCUGAUAGGAACUAGAUCUUAAUCUGUGGGAUCUAAUGCUAACUACAGGAAAAUAGUGUUAAAACUGAGUUAAAUGGUAGGGCACCUGUUUGUUAUCUGAGAAUUGUUUGGAUGUGUGGGGCACAUCAGGAUUGGUGAUGGAAUUUUUAAUGAUAAAAGGACAAAAGGAAACUCUUGGAUAUUAAAAUAUGGUUGUAAAAUAAAUAUUCAGUAGAAUGUUCAAAAUAUAAAGUUGAAGAAAGUUAUUUUUAUACAGUAUGGCAAACCAAAAGAGUAGGAAAUAUGAGAGAAAAAGAAACUUGAAAUUAAUCCAUGAGGUCUAACUUUACACUAAUGAGUUGCAGAAAGAAUUGAAUAGAGAUGACAGUGAGGAGAAAAUUAUUAAGGCUACAAGAAACUUCUUUGGGUUUAAGCACCCCAUGUUAAGAUUCAAAAGAGGCCACUAAUUGCUUAACCUAAUGAAUGAAAAAGGUGAAGAACUGGACACAUCCAUCACUGUGAGUAUUAGGAGCAUUAGAGAUAAAGAAAAAACAAAAUCUGAAAGAGAGAAAAAAGUAUUGAAAGGAGUGAUAGGAAAAUAAAGCAAUUUGCUUCAAGAGACUAGAAUCAGAGAUUUUUUUUUUUUUUAAUUUUAUUACCAUCAGCACAGCAUGCACUGGAAGAAUGGGAAUCAAGCCUUGAAGUCUUAAGAUAAAGUUAUUUCUACCGUCCAUUCCAUGCUUGGCUAACAAAUUAUAAAGAUAUUCAAGUAGGCAAUCAUUGAGGAAAAAUACAUUCUAAGCACCCUAUAGAAAGUUUCUUAAGCCUGUGCGCUGGUGAAACAAAGGAGAAAAGUAAGAGAAAAAUGUAUAAUUCAAGAAACCUGAAACCCAUUCUAGAGAACAAAGAAGGAUGAAAAUGGCACAGUCAACCUGGAGAACACUCAGCUCAGGCUGAGAAGCUGUUUCUGUUCAGAUUCACUCUGGUGGAAUUCAAGCAGGAAGGAGAUACGUCUGGUACUGCCACACCACAGUUCAUAAUAGCAGAUGCAUAUGGAGGAGGAAUGAUGAGUGCAUUUCCUUUGGCUGCUUUUAUUGCUCCAAGUCUGGGUACAGUUGAAAUCUCUGUCUUUCUCAUGCCCAGCCACCUCUUCUCCAAUACCCUUCUCUUUCUCACAAGCCUAGGGGGUGGUUCGGCUGAGGACUCUGGCCAGUAAUCUCCCAGAAAGCCUUUUGCUUUCUUUACUUUUACAGUUUUAUUUCCUUCAAUCUUGUCUGAUAAAAUCUCUUACCAAAAAUUCUCAAUUUGGUCAGGCUAGAUUUUCCUGAUUUCUGAUGUUGUUACAGACAUCUCCUUUCCUCAUUCCCUUAUUAAUGGAGUUCCCUUCGUGGCUUAGUGGUUAAUGAACCCGACUAGGAACCAUGAGGUUGCAGGUUAGAUCCCUGGCCUUGCUCAGUGGGUUAAGAAUCCAGCAUUGCUGUGAGCUGUGGUGUAGGUCGCAGAUGUGGCUCGGAUCCUGUGUUGCUGUGGCUGUGGUGUAGGCUGGCAGCUGUAGCUCCAUUCGACCCCUAGCCUGGGAACUUCCGUAUGCCGCGGGUGAGGCCCUAAAAAGAAAAAUUAAAAAAAUAUAUAUUGGAGAGACAUUCCAAAUGACAAAGUUAAUUGAUAGAUGUGUUGAUUGUUAAUUAAUUUCCUUGAACCGUUUUACUAAUGGCAUAGUUUUUUUCUUAUAGCAGUAUAUAGAUUACUGAAGAAAAUAUUCGUGUGCCUUUAUAGUCACCUCGGUGUUUUGUUAACUGAUGGAUUUGCACGGUGGUGCUGAAAAACGCCCUCAGCACAUGGUCACUCAGUGAAGCCAUAUUGUGUGUGUCUUAUUUGUUUUACAUUUUUUCUUUUUGUUGGUGCAAAUUUCUUCAUCUUCUAAUUUCUACUGGGGUUUUGUUUAUUUCUGACACAAAUCAGAUAUGU